rnacentral:sRNA from 1 species
CAGAAGACAGAGACCGGUCGCGAAAGC